UACGGGGGGGGCAAGCGUUGUUCGGAAUUACUGGGCGUAAAGGGCUCGUAGGCGGCCAACUAAGUCAGACGUGAAAUCCCUCGGCUUAACCGGGGAACUGCGUCUGAUACUGGAUGGCUUGAGAUUGGGAGAGGGAUGCGGAAUUCCAGGUGUAGCGGUGAAAUGCGUAGAUAUCUGGAGGAACACCGGUGGCGAAGGCGGCAUCCUGAACCAACACUGACGCUGAGGAGCGAAAGCCAGGGGAGCAAACGGG
rnacentral:rRNA from 1 species